rnacentral:rRNA from 1 species
GAAAGUUCCGGCGGUUUAAGAUGGACAUGCGUUGUAUUAGUUAGUUGGUGAGGUAACGGCUCACCAAGACGACGAUACAUAGGGGGACUGAGAGGUUAACCCCCCACAUUGGUACUGAGACACGGACCAAACUCCUACGGGAGGCAGCAGUGAGGAAUAUUGGUCAAUGGACGCAAGUCUGAACCAGCCAUGCCGCGUGCAGGAUGACGGCUCUAUGAGUUGUAAACUGCUUUUGUACGAGGGUAAUAUCAGAUACGUGUAUCUGCUUGAAAGUAUCGUACGAAUAAGGAUCGGCUAACUCCGUGCCAGCAGCCGCGGUAAUACGGAGGAUCCAAGCGUUAUCCGGAUUUAUUGGGUUUAAAGGGUGCGUAGGCGGUUUUAUAAGUUAGAGGUGAAAAUUCGGGGCUCAACUCCGGACGUGCCUCUAAUACUGUAUGACUAGAGAAUAGAUGCGGUAGGCGGAAUGUAUGGUGUAGCGGUGAAAUGCGUAGAGAUCAUACAGAACACCGAUUGCGAAGGCAGCUUACCAAACUAUAUCUGACGUUGAGGCACGAAAGCGUGGGGAGCAAACAGGAUUAGAUACCCUGGUAGUCCACGCAGUAAACGAUGAUAGCUCGUUGUCGGCGAUACAUU